CACGUAGGCGGAUUGUUAAGUCAGGGGUGAAAUCCUGGAGCUCAACUCCAGAACUGCCUUUGAUACUGGCGAUCUUGAGUCCGGGAGAGGUGAGUGGAACUGCGAGUGUAGAGGUGAAAUUCGUAGAUAUUCGCAAGAACACCAGUGGCGAAGGCGGCUCACUGGCCCGGUACUGACGCUGAGGUGCGAAAGCGUGGGGAGCAAACA
rnacentral:rRNA from 1 species